rnacentral:rRNA from 1 species
UACGUAGGCAGCAAGCGUUGUUCGGAGUUACUGGGCGUAAAGGGUGUGUAGGCGGUUUUUAAGUUUGGUGUGAAAUCUCCCGGCUCAACUGGGAGGUGCGCCGAAUACUGAAAGACUAGAGUGCGGGAGAGGAAGUGGAAUUCCUGGUGUAGCGGUGAAAUGCGUAGAUAUCAGGAGGAACACCGGUGGUGUAGACGGCUUCUGGACCGUAACUGACGCUGGAGACACGAAAGCGUCGGGUAGCAAACAGG